rnacentral:misc_RNA from 1 species
GAUGAAGAACGUAGCGAAAUGCGAUACGUAAUGUGAAUUGCAGAAUUCAGUGAAUCAUCGAAUCUUUGAACGCAUAUUGCGCUCUUUGGUAUUCCGAAGAGCAUGCUUGUUUGAGUAUCAGUAAACACCUCAACCUCUUCUUGAUUUUUCAAAAGGAGGGUGGACUUGAGCUAUCCCAACAACCUUUACCGGUCGGCGGGCGGCUUGAAAUGCAGGUGCAGCUGGACUUUUAUCUGAGCUAAAAGCAUAUCUAUUUAGUCCUCGUCAAACAGGAUUAUUACUUUUGCUGCAGCUAACAUAAAGGAUAAUUGUCCUCUUUGCUGACUGAUGUAGGAUUUUACGACACUUUAUGUGUUGUUCAACUCGAUCUCAAAUCAAGUAAGACUACCCGCUGAACUUAAGCAUAUCAAUAAGCGGAGGA